UGAGGAAAUAGGUGUAUUCUGCUCUGU
rnacentral:piRNA from 1 species